GACGAACGCUGGCGGCGUGCUUAACACAUGCAAGUCGAACGGAAAGGCCCUGCUUUUGUGGGUUGCUCGAUUGGCGAACGGGUGAGUAACACGUGAGUAACCUGCCCUUGACUUUGGGAUAACUUCAGGAAACUGGGGCUAAUACCGGAUAGGAUCUCUUGCUGCAUGUUGGGGGUUGGAAAGUUUCGGCGGUUGGGGAUGGACUCGCGGCUUAUCCGCUUGUUGGUGGGGUAGUGGCUUACCAAGGCUUUGACGGGUAGCCGGCCUGAGAGGGUGACCGGCCACAUUGGGACUGAGAUACGGACCAGACUCCUACGGGAGGCAGCAGUGGGGAAUAUUGCACAAUGGGCGGAAGCCUGAUGCAGCAACGCCGCGUGCGGGAUGACGGCCUUCGGGUUGUAAACCGCUUUCGCCUGUGACGAAGCGUGAGUGACGGUAAUGGGUAAAGAAGCACCGGCUAACUACGUG
rnacentral:rRNA from 1 species